ensembl:antisense
AGUUCCGGCCUCUGCCCUGCCCUUCAAAUCACCUCCAGGCACAGGCUGACACAAGGUAAAGAGACUUACGGUGCUGAUGCGCAAAGAAGCCUUCAAAGAUGACAAAGUUGUUCACCUGGAAGAUGAAGCAAACAGAGCAUACUGUCUCGUCUCAUCACACAGUAGGUAUAGAACCUGGGCCACAGAGCCAAUGAGGCAUGAACAUGGUGCAUGUAUAUACAUGUGAACAAAGCAUUCACACAGGAAAAGCAAGAGGUGCCCCAUACCUUGGCAGAAGCCUUGCCCAGCUCAUCUACAAUAGUCAUGAUUUGCUGCUGCAGAUCCACACUACAGAGAGAGGGGCUGGUCAGACACUCGCUGGGUUACAGCAUCCUGGAAGUCAUUCCUGGCAGCCUGCUUGGCUCCCACCCAGGCUCCUCCACAGACUCUCUGACUUUGCUUGGAACUCUUCCUCACCUCCCACCUCACCCCUCCAGAUCCCAAACUUCAGUUUCACAGCUCCCAUGUUAAGGUUACUGUGAGGCGGUAGGAAGGGCGGGUCAACUAUAGCCUCUUGUUGAGGCCACAUUAGGCCAAAGGGUGAAAGGUUACAGAUGUAGGCCAAUUAACCCAGCUAGAGCCAGGGUCAAAGGUCACCAAAAGACAUAUAAGACCGCAGGAGGAAUGGCCAGUAGUCAGUGAAAAGGGGGCGUGGUUCCUGGAUCAGGUUUGGAGAGGAACCGGGACAGAAGGGCCAUGGGUCGGGUUUGAAAUGUCACCGGGCCGGCGUUGUGGUUCCGGGUCGGCGGGCCGGAGGCCGCAGAUGCUGGUCCAGCACGGUGAUCCGCUCCGGGAACAGCGCAUCCACAUCGAACGGGAACUCCAUGGCCCAUUGUGCGGGGGCCGGACACGCCCCACACAACGUCACUUCCGCUACCAGAGCCGGUCUGUGCCCCUGUGGUGCCAGGGCAACCAAGGAUCGUGCCCUCCCAGUGAAUAGCUGAGGGAACCUUCAGAAGAACCAGUCAUACACCCCUUCCUUGAUGGAGUUGCGGGCAUUUGCAGGUAGACCACAUUCCCACCCCACUGCUACACCCCAUCUUAUAAAUGUCACACCCAUGUUUUGAACAGUCAGCCCAAAGGGAGUCUGGAACGGGUGAAGAAACACAGCUUUAUUGUAGAAAAGCUGAGCCAAAGGGUUUAAAUCAGGGACACACUAUCAAGUACACACAGGAGUCUCCAGUUCAUAUGUUAAGUCCUCACCAGAGUUACCCAUACACAUCUAGUCCCCCUCAACGUCAAAUGUGCUUGUCCUCUUCAUACCAGCCAUUUCCCUGUAGGGUCUGCCACUGUCACAAAACAGAACCCUUUGCAGGACACAGGACCCCACGUAGCCCUAGAUAGCACUCCCUUGAUCUGACUUCCCCAGGUCACAAGCUCUAAGCACUCGGGGAGCCGGUCUGCUCAGUGGAGGCUUCUGCUGGUGGUGUAGUGGGCAUCUCAGGCAUUGACUCAGGUGGUGGGCCACUUUCUUCUAGGAGAUUUCCUUGAUAGAGUCGGCGAAGUCGAGACAGCUCUCUCUCGGGUGGCUGUUGCCAGCUGUACCACGGGUACCAAGGUUCACCUGACAACAACGUGGGGGCUGGUGGAGUCACACUGACAGCUCCAUGUACAGUCCCAAAGUCAGCAUCCCUGGGCUCAACCUGGGGGAUGUAGUAGCUGAGAAGACCUAAGGGGUUAAAGGAAAUAAUGGUGGAUAAGGAAGGGCAGGUCAGACUCAGAGACAAGAAGAAGGCACUACAAAUGGAGGGUCCAAUCAUAACCACCAAGCACAUUCCAGCAGCUUAUACAUAGCCCAACCUGCCAAGGAGACAGAGAACAGGCAGGGCACUGCGUGAGCUUUCCCUCCUCACUCAUCUGUGCAAAGGUGCUGGGUAAGCCGGGUCAGAACAAAGGGACACAAGACUAUCAAGCUUCAGGAGACAGGGUAGCCUGAAGAAGGAGUGUUCCUUCCUUGUUUCCUCAAAGAUCAUCUCAGUAUGUGCUCCCAGUAGCUUGGAACUUGCAGCUGUCACUUCAGAGCCCAGCAACUCACCCAACUUGGAAAAACCCUAGAGUCUGCUGAGUCCUUUCUCAUAGACACAGGAGCACAUAAGCACCUCAGAAACCCUUGCCCCUUGCUCUCACUUACCACACUCCCUGGCUUUCUGGAUGGCCUGGGUCAGUUUCUUGUGCUGCUUCAUACAGACCCCUACGGAGAGAAAAGUCGACCUGGACAGCGUCCCACAAAGCAGGAAGUCUUCUACACACAGACAGCUGACUGUGGAGAACCUGGCUUGACCUAAGGACCCAUGCCCCUGUAUCUGCCUGCACGUCCAGUCACUAUAGAGAUGUCAUGGAAUGAUAGAGCCUAGAGAUGGGCAAGAAGAUGACUCAAUGACAAGCGUGGUUAAGGCUGACUUAGAAAAUCCACAGAAAGAUCUUAUAAGAAGUGAUUUCAAAUUAGGGAAUGUGACAGAGUAGCAAUUAUUCACAACUCCACUCUGCAGGCUGACAACAAAAAAACUGACAAAAAGGACAUAUCGGGAGUGGUGGCGCAUGCCUUUAAUCCCAGCACUUGGGAAGCAGAGGCAGGCAGAUUUCUGAGUUCAAGGCCAGCCUCGUCUACAAAGUGAGUUCCAGGACAGCCAGGGCUGCACAAAAAACCUGUCAUGAAAAAAAAAAAAAAAAAAAAGAUAGGUGGAAAAACUUUACAAAGAAGCAAGCUGUUCACCUUUUUUUUAAAAAAAACAAAAAGUUGAGCCAAAGUCUAUGUAGCCCUGGCUGUCUUGGAACUCACUAUGUAGACCAUGCUGACCUCAAACUCAGUUUAAGGCAUGGUUUACCUUUUAAAGUACAUUUAGUCAGUCCUCCUUCCUACAGGGAAGCUCUAAAACUUUAGUCUUUUGUCUACAUUUAACUGUUUUAUGAUGAUUCUCAUU